AAAAAGAUAUAUUUAAGAAAGAGCCAGCUUACGGGCUAUAUCUGUUAGCGGUUUAAUGGUUUGGAGAUAGGGAGGACGCUAAGGUCUCCAUUCACUCUCCUACUUCUAACGGCGUGUUCCCGAUGCCAACUGCGAUGAACUUCUUCAUUUCACUGGCCAUCUUAGAAGCUUGUGUUUUCAUUCAAGUACUGGCACUGACGAUACCUCACUGGGCGGAUGAAGCGGCAUAUGGCAAGUACCAGGACGCCUGGAAGCUCCUAAACCAAAAAGACGAUACAAGGUACUUUCUCCUGCAGUCAACGUUUCGCGAUAAACCACAUUUCUGGGGACGUAACUUCAAGUGUGUCACCGUUCGACAGACUCAGCAGAAACC